AUACGUAGGUGGCAAGCGUUAUCCGGAAUUAUUGGGCGUAAAGAGGGAGCAGGCGGCAGCAAGGGUCUGUGGUGAAAGCCUGAAGCUUAACUUCAGUAAGCCAUAGAAACCAGGCAGCUAGAGUGCAGGAGAGGAUCGUGGAAUUCCAUGUGUAGCGGUGAAAUGCGUAGAUAUAUGGAGGAACACCAGUGGCGAAGGCGACGAUCUGGCCUGCAACUGACGCUCAGUCCCGAAAGCGUGGGGAGCAAAUAGGAUUAGAUACCCUAGUAGUCCACGCCGUAAACGAUGAGUACUAAGUGUUGGAUGUCAAAGUUCAGUGCUGCAGUUAACGCAAUAAGUACUCCGCCUGAGUAGUACGUUCGCAAGAAUGAAACUCAAAGGAAUCGACGGGG
rnacentral:rRNA from 1 species